rnacentral:rRNA from 1 species
UACGUAGGGUGCAAGCGUUGUCCGGAAUUAUUGGGUGUAAAGAGCUCGUAGGCGGCCAUGUAGGUCCGGUGUGAAAACUCGAGGCUUAACCUCGAGAUGUCAUCGGAAACCAUUUGGCUAGAGUCCGGAAGAGGAGAGUGGAAUUCCUGGUGUAGCGGUGGAAUGCGCAGAUAUCAGGAGGAACACCAAUGGCGAAGGCAGGUCUCUGGGCCAAUACUGACACUGAGGAGCGAAAGUCUGGGGAGCGAACAGG